rnacentral:rRNA from 1 species
AUUGAACGCUGGCGGCAUGCUUUACACAUGCAAGUCGAACGGUAACAGGCCGCAAGGUGCUGACGAGUGGCGAACGGGUGAGUAAUGCAUCGGAACGUGCCCAGUCGUGGGGGAUAACGCAGCGAAAGCUGCGCUAAUACCGCAUACGAGCUAUGGAUGAAAGCGGGGGACCGAAAGGCCUCGUGCGAUUUGAGCGGCCGAUGUCAGAUUAGGUAGUUGGUGGGGUAAAGGCUCACCAAGCCGACGAUCUGUAGCUGGUCUGAGAGGACGACCAGCCACACUGGGACUGAGACACGGCCCAGACUCCUACGGGAGGCAGCAGUGGGGAAUUUUGGACAAUGGGCGCAAGCCUGAUCCAGCAAUGCCGCGUGCAGGAAGAAGGCCUUCGGGUUGUAAACUGCUUUUGUACGGAACGAAAAGGCUCUGGUUAAUACCUGGGGCUGAUGACGGUACCGUAAGAAUAAGCACCGGCUAACUACGUGCCAGCCGCCGCAGUAAGAC